UACGAAGGGGGCUAGCGUUGCUCGGAAUUACUGGGCGUAAAGGGCGCGUAGGCGGACAGUUUAGUCAGAGGUGAAAGCCCAGGGCUCAACCCUGGAAUUGCCUUUGAUACUGACUGUCUUGAGUACGGGAGAGGUGUGUGGAACUCCGAGUGUAGAGGUGAAAUUCGUAGAUAUUCGGAAGAACACCAGUGGCGAAGGCGACACACUGGCCCGUUACUGACGCUGAGGCGCGAAAGCGUGGGGAGCAGACAGG
rnacentral:rRNA from 1 species